UUCUUUUUUUAUUUUUCCAUG
rnacentral:piRNA from 1 species